rnacentral:rRNA from 1 species
AGGACGAACGCUGGCGGCGUGCCUAACACAUGCAAGUGGAGCGACGACCCGGGCUUCGGCCCGGUGCAAAGCCGCGAACGGGUGAGUAACACGUGGGUAACCUGCCCUGAUGAUUGGGACAACCCGAGGAAACUCGGGCUAAUACCGAAUGUGCCCUCUGGCCGUAAGGCCUCUGGGGAAAGGAAGCUUCGGCCUCCGCAUUGGGAUGGGCCCGCGGCCCAUUAGCUUGUUGGUGAGGUAACGGCUCACCAAGGCAACGAUGGGUAGCUGGUCUGAGAGGACGAUCAGCCACACUGGGACUGAGACACGGCCCAGACUCCUACGGGAGGCAGCAGUGGGGGAAUCUUGCGCAAUGCGCGAAAGCGUGACGCAGCAACGCCGCGUGGGGGAAGAAGGCCUUCGGGUUGUAACCCCUUUCAGUUGGGACGAAUUGACGGUACCUGCAGAAGAAGCCCCGGCCAACUACGUGCCAGCAGCCGC